UCCAGACUCCUACGGGAGGCAGCAGUGGGGGAUAUUGCACAAUGGGGGGAACCCUGAUGCAGCGACGCCGCGUGGGUGAAGGAGCGUUUCGGCGCGUAAAGCCCUAUCGGCAGGGAAGAAGGAGGACGGUACCUGACUAAGAAGCCCCGGCUAACUACGUGCCAGCAGCCGCGGUAAUACGUAGGGGGCAAGCGUUAUCCGGAUUUACUGGGUGUAAAGGGGGCGCAGACGGCAGCGCAAGCCAGGAGUGAAAGCCCGGGGCCCAACCCCGGGACUGCUCUUGGAACUGCGCGGCUGGAGUGCAGGAGGGGCAGGCGGAAUUCCUGGUGUAGCGGUGAAAUGCGUAGAUAUCAGGAGGAACACCGGUGGCGAAGGCGGCCUGCUGGACUGCGACUGACGUUGAGGCCCGAAAGCGUGGGGAGCAAACAGGAUUAGAUACCCUGGUAUCU
rnacentral:rRNA from 1 species